rnacentral:lncRNA from 1 species
CUGCAUUGAUGACUCCAUCAUUUUUAUCAUCUCUGCACCAGGUUACAUGGUACAUGAGUGAUAAUUAAAAACAAAUUUUGGAUAUUUCAAAUCAUUUGAGUCCAGCUGAAAUAAGUAGCAUAGACUGUACUUUAAACCGUUUCAAAAAUGGUUACGAGUUUACAUUUUUUUUUAAAAGACACAUAGUGCGUAUUUAGCUUGAUGUCAAAAUUUCGAAGUUUAGCAUAGCUAGGAGUUUAGGAAAAACCUAAGUCUCCACUAAUGAUCAUUUACUUAAUAUUCUAUAUGCUCCUAUAAUCCUUAACACUCCAAUCACACAAAACUAUACCCAGUUCAUAAAACCACACUUAUGAGUUCAUAACCUGGCCACAAUUAUAUGAGUUUAAGAACUUACCCUAGUCUGACCUUUGGCGUCCGUUCGCUGAGGGGCUCAUAAACAUUUCAUAUAACUAUGAGUCAAGAAUGUCACAUAAGUAUGAGUUCUAAGAACUCGUACUUAAUCCUAUAUU